GAGGGUAUAGCUCAAGUGGUAGAGUGAAUGCUUAACAUGCAUGAGGUCCUGGGUUCAAUUCCCAGUACCUCCU
rnacentral:tRNA from 1 species